GGCCUUGUGGCCUAAUGGUAAGGCGCCACAUUUCGGUUCAAAAUCGAAAAUUACAAAUUCUGUGGAGAUUGUGGGUUCGAAUCCUACCGGGGUCG